rnacentral:rRNA from 1 species
UACGUAGGGUGCAAGCGUUAAUCGGAAUACUGGGCGUAAAGCGUGCGCAGGCGGUUCUAUAAGACAGAUGUGAAAUCCCCGGGCUCAACCCUGGGAACUGCAUUUGUGACUGUAGAGCUGGAGUGCGGCAGAGGGGGAUGGAAUUCCGCGUGUAGCAGUGAAAUGCGUAGAUAUGCGGAGGAACACCGAUGGCGAAGGCAAUCCCCUGGGCCUGCACUGACGCUCAUGCACGAAAGCGUGGGAGCGAAACAAGGA